rnacentral:rRNA from 1 species
UGGGGAAUUUUGGACAAUGGGCGAAAGCCUGAUCCAGCCAUGCCGCGUGAGUGACGAAGGCCUUAGGGUUGUAAAACUCUUUCGUCGGGGACGAUAAUGACGGUACCCGAAGAAGAAGCUCCGGCUAACUUCGUGCCAGCAGCCGCGGUAAUACGAAGGGAGCUAGCGUUGUUCGGAAUCACUGGGCGUAAAGCGCACGUAGGCGGAUAGUUAAGUCAGGGGUGAAAUCCUGGGGCUCAACCCCAGAACUGCCUUUGAUACUGGCUGUCUCGAGGUCGAGAGAGGUUGGUGGAAUUCCUAGUGUAGAGGUGAAAUUCGUAGAUAUUCGCAGGAACACCAGUGGCGAAGGCGACUUGCUGGACUUAUGGUGACGCUGAGACGCGAAAGCGUGGGGAGCAAACAGGAUUAGAUACCCCCGUAGUCCCUGAGCGGGCUGGCAAGGCGCAU